ACGGAAUAGAUACCCAGGUAGUCCCAGCUGUAAACGAUGCAGGCUAGGUGUUUGGACGGCCACGUGCCGUUCUAGUGCCGCAGGGAAGCUGUUAAGCCUGCCGCCUGGGGAGUACGAUCGCAAGAUUGAAACUUAAAGGAAUUGGCGGGGGAGCACCACAAGGGGUGAAGCUUGCGGUUUAAUUGGAGUCAACGCCGGAAAUCUCACCGGGAGCGACAGCAGUGUGAAGGCCAGAUUAAAGGUCUUGCCAGACGAGCUGAGAGGAGGUGCAUGGCCGUCGCCAGUUCGUGCCGUGAGGUGUCCUGUUAAGUCAGGCAACGAUCGAGACCCGCAUCCUCUGUUGCAACCAGUUUUGCGCUGGGCACACUGAGGAGACCGCCACUGAUAAACGUGGAGGAAGGAGCGGGCCA
rnacentral:rRNA from 1 species